AUUGGCGACCUCACACAUCACCUCAAAUGAACAGAGGGCAAAAUCCCUAGAGGGGAGAGUGGGCGGAGGGGUGGGGGGAUCACAUUCCCAAACUUCUCCAAGCUCCGAACUCCAGACUCCUCCUUCCAAGAAGCCUCAAGGGCUCCUCCACUAGGAAGCAGGAACAAACUAGUUCCUUUAUAGGGGGCACCAGGCCGCCGCGUACCUGACUCAGUUUCCUCUGCCGCAAAGAGGCAUCUUGCCCCCACAAGCCAACUGAACCUGCCGGUCUGGAAGGCUUUUGGAGAUAUCUGAAGAUAGCCGUCUGUGGGUACUGCCCCCACAGGUUCCUAUCGAAACCUCCCACAGUUGUUCUGAGCAAUUUGUAUCUUAAAAUAAGGACUAUCAUGAGAAAAAAUGAUGUAAAAAUACUAUCAAUAUACAUGUGGCCUGUCACUCCACAAGUGUUUCUAAUCGUCACUCCACAAGUGUUUCUAAUCAUCACAACCCAGCAAAGAGAGUACUAUUAUUCCCAUGUUAUUAACAAAGAUCUGAAGAUUAAGUAAUUUACCCAAAGCCACAGUUUGAAAGAGGCCAAGCUGAAAUUUGAAACCAGGUCUUUCCACCCCCAGUAACUCAAGGAAAGACUUGCCUUCUAGAGGCCUCCUGCCCCUUUCCUACCUGGCUAUUUUGGUAACUUUCCUUGAUGGAAUUCUGUCUUCUCUGCUUCUCUGCAGGGCUUUAUUCCCCCCCAUGAAAGCAUUUAUUGUCUCCUGUUUUCCCCUCUCUGGUUCCUUUCCUCUUGAGAUGUCAGGACAUUGUUCAUCUUCUCAUUUCUGAAAUGAAUUUGUGACCUGUGAUUAAGGCACACAUUCUCCACCUGAUCUCUCCUUCUCUUGGUGUUAAUUAUAGUCAUAGAAAGUUAAUAGGUCCAGAACAAGGAGGGGGUGAGACCAGAGAUGUUUUUGCAAGCUCAGUUUACAAGCCGAGUGCUCAGUUCCAAAGGGAAGCGCGCUCAAUCCACUGGUUGGACCCAAUGACUGGAGUCUAGAUUCAUGACAUCCUCUGGAGGUCAUUUUUUUUCCUGGGUCCUCUGGUCCAUAUGACGGCUCAAUCAUGGGAAUGCUGCUAGAUGAUGUGAAUAUCACUGAAGCAAGGAGGUCUCAGAGCUGCAUUUACCCACACUCCUCCUUUCUCCACCUUUAACAUUAUCACCAUCGCUAUUUUUCAUCUUUAUCGUGCCCUCCUGCAGAGGCACUCAAUAAUGUGCCCAUUGUGCAAGUAAUCUAAAAUCCUUUUCGGCAAGCAAUAGUAUUUAGUAGUAAUAAAACACUAAUUUGUCUACCAAGUGACAUAUUUAUAGGAGCUGUUUACUUUGACAUAUUUUUAUUAUUUCUACUCAUUUGCUAAGUACUUUCCAAUACAUAUUUAUGAAGCACAUGCCUUUCCCCGAACAGUACUGAAAAAAUAAAUCAUAUUAUUUCUUUUAUUAGUAGCAGCAUGGCUUGUAAGUGCUAGUGCCCUGAUUUUUGUUACUUCUGGCACGAGCUGAAAGAAUUAAUGGUGAUUGAGCACCUACUAUGUGCCAGAGUUUCUGUGAAAGGCACUUUACAUAAAUUAUCUAUUAAGUUCCCCUGAGACAUAUAAUUUUACCAAUAAGGAAAAUAUAAUUCCCCUGCAACAUAGAUUUUACUAAUGAGACAGAGACAGUACCUGUCCAAGUAAUUUGGCCAGAAGGCAUUUUGAACCCAGAUCUUUUCCUUAACCCAAACCCCAAAUCAUCAUUCCAUUUCACCAGGCCCUCUUAACUUCUCUGGACCUAAUUAAUUACGUAAAAUAUAAAGAAUUCCUUUGUGUAGAUUACCCCAGAAUGGAACAGAGAUAAACAGACACGAGAUGCUUAUCCCAAUUUUUCUAUAAGCGGUAACUCUCUAAGGGAGUUAUUCCCUAAGAAAUCAGUGGUAAGGUAUUUUCCAAAGAGACUGGCCAAUACAAGAGUUCUACUCAUUCCUGGAGACAGGACUGCUUACGUAGUGCGCAGGGCACAGUGCAAAAUAUGGGACCCUUGUUCAAAA
ensembl:lncRNA